CUCUAGAUGACGGGUCCCAAAUAGGACGAAACGUGCGUCCUGGAU
rfam:Schistosoma rodhaini strain Burundi genome assembly, scaffold: SROB_scaffold0005240